CAAAAAGUAGCUUAACCAAAGCCCCCAGCUUACAACUGGGCUACGUUAGAACAAACUAACCUUUUUGC
rnacentral:tRNA from 1 species